AAUAUAUGGCCAAUUAAAAAAUUUAACCAAAAUGAUUUUAUCCAAAAAUAUAUCAUAUUUAUCUCCCCCUUUAUCAUAAAAAAAAUUAGAUAGAUGCAAUUGAAACAAAAGCAUAAAAAAUAAUUCGAUAAAGAUAUUACUAAUUUUGUGCGAGAAAAAAUUUCGGCAGAAUCUCCCCUUAAAAUGCACAAAUCCUCAAAUACACAACAUGGUUAAAAAUGCUUCCAUAUAAGCUUAAACAAUUAUACCAAACCACCAACUCCGUCAAUUCAUCAAGCAACACACAUAUAAUCAUCAAUAAUCAAAAUCACUAUAAAUCCAUGCUUAUACCAAAAAGAAUAUCUCAAUGAUUAAUCAAGAAAAAAAAAAUGAGUGUGCAAUUAACUAAAGAGUCAUAUUCAUUCUAAGAAUUCAAAAAAAUAUAAUCCAAAUAUAAAUUAUCCAAAUUUUAAACAACCAUCAUCCGUAAUCCAUAAUUAAAAUAAUUAUGCAUAUGAAAAUAUAGGUGCAUAAUACAAUAAGGAACCAUGGUAAUUUAAAAUACCCAAAAUGCACAAAUUCGGUUUUGUAAAAUAAUGAGUGAAAUGGAUUAUUUUAAACCGAUUAUAUUGAUCCAAGAGAUGAUUUAAGAUAAUGGAUGGUGUUGAUAUGAACUCCGUAUUAUCUCCAUAAUUGUUCUUACAUCUCUUGGCCACGUGUUUGCUCAUGAUUUAUUACCAUCCACCAUUGUUGGAACAAAAACAAGCUUAAAGAUCCAAUUUCGGGUUUACAAAAAUUGAGUGAAAUGGAUUUGUUUGAGCCAAGAAAAUCGAUCCUAGAGAUGAAUGAAGCUAAUAUAUGAUGUAGAUUGGAUAAAAAAUGGGCUAAAGGAAGCUUGAAAAUAUAGAGAGAGAAACGGGUAGUUAGGUUUUUGAUUUUGGGUUUUAUGUGGAGAGUUGAUGAAAUGAAGUUUUGAGAACGAAAAUUGAAGGAGUAAUGGAUGAAUAAUGAUUUGGAUGAUUGAUUUUAACAAGAAAAUGAGUGAAAGAUGAAGAAAU
rnacentral:lncRNA from 1 species